ACAGCAGUAGCCGCGGGAACACAGAGGGUGCGAGCGUUAAUCGGAUUUACUGGGCGUAAAGCGUGCGUAGGCGGCUUCUUAAGUCGGAUGUGAAAUCCCUGAGCUUAACUUAGGAAUUGCAUUCGAUACUGGGAAGCUAGAGUAUGGGAGAGGAUGGUAGAAUUCCAGGUGUAGCGGUGAAAUGCGUAGAGAUCUGGAGGAAUACCGAUGGCGAAGGCAGCCAUCUGGCCUAAUACUGACGCUGAGGUACGAAAGCAUGGGGAGCAAACAGGAUUAGAGACCCCAGUAGUCCCUGUCUCUUAUAA
rnacentral:rRNA from 1 species